GCAACGCGAAAACCUUACCACCUUGACAUGUACGGAAUCCUUUAGAGAUAGAGGAGUGCUCGAAAGAGAGCCGUAACACAGGUGCUGCAUGGCUGUCGUCAGCUCGUGUCGUGAGAUGUUGGGUUAAGUCCCGCAACGAGCGCAACCCUUAUCCCUAGUUGCCAUCAGGUAAAGCUGGGAACUCUGGGAGACUGCCGGUGACAAACCGGAGGAAGGUGGGGAUGACGUCAAGUCCUCAUGGCCCUUAUGGGUAGGGCUUCACACGUCAUACAAUGGUCGGUACAGAGGGUUGCCAACCCGCGAGGGGGAGCUAAUCCCACAAAAGCCGAUCGUAGUCCGGAUCGCAGUCUGCAACUCGACUGCGUGAAGUCGGAAUCGCUAGUAAUCGUGGAUCAGCAUGUCACGGUGAAUACGUUCCCGGGUCUU
rnacentral:rRNA from 1 species